rnacentral:misc_RNA from 1 species
CGAGAGGAACAGCCGAGGAGGAACGAGGUGCGCGCGUGAUCCACGUACACCGUUCGACUCGAAUUCGUUUAUCACAUUAACGGGAAAUUACAUUCCCGGGGUUCAAACAUUCAUCCCUGAGGAAUCGUUCGCCCGGCGUUGUGCACCACCUUGUGGAUUAUUACCUCGAUUUCCUUCCGGCCGAAAGAGGACACCUGCAGCAAUCAUGGCGCCGCGAAGACUGAAGAGUUGCAUGUCGGAAAAUCUCCUCACGAUUUUGACGGUCAUGGGAGUCGUAGGAGGAACGGUCCUUGGACUCAUCUUAAGGAACGUCAGGGACUCCGGAGACUGGUCGAAACGUGAAAUUAUGUACGUCCAGUUCAUGGGAGAUUUGUUCCUCCGGAUGCUGAAGGCUCUGAUUCUGCCCCUCAUCGUCUCGAGCAUCGUCAGUGCAAUCGGAAGUCUGGAUCUCUCGUUGUCAGGAAAAAUUGGAAGCCGCUCGAUUUAUUAUUACGCUACGACGACGGUGUGCGCUGUCAUUCUGGGUAUCAUUUUGGUCCUCGUAAUUCGUCCCGGGGAGAUUGGAUCGGCUGAAUACGAAGCCGACAAAUCAAAGGUUCCCACGAGAAAUGUUACGACGGAGGAUACGUUGCUCGAUUUGAUCAGGAACAUUUUCCCGCCGAAUCUAAUCCAGGCCUGCAUUAGCCAGUAUCGAACAGAGCUGGUGGACCCUCACAAUGAAUCCAUUCCUUUGAAAUCCUGGAAAAUCGAACACACCUACGCCGAUGGAACAAACACCCUGGGUCUCGUGAUAUUUGCAAUCGUGAUGGGAAUAACUCUGGCCAAGAUGGGGGAGGUCGGUAAACCACUAUUUGACUUCUUCCACUCGCUCUCCGAAGCGAUGAUGAUCAUCACUAACUGGGUGAUCUGGAUCUCGCCUAUCGGUGUCCUUUUCCUGGUCAGCUCGAAGAUCUUGGAAAUCGAAGAUCUCGGGGAGAUAGUCGGUAAGCUAGGCAUCUACUUCGCCGUUGUCCUCCUGGGUCUCUUCCUCCACGGUUUCGGCACCCUGACAAUAAUCUACUACGUCUGCACUCGGGAGCUGCCCUUCAAGGCGAUCGGUCAGAUGGGUCAGGUUUUGGUAACGGCGUUCGGAACAGCUUCAAGUUCCGCCACCCUGCCCAUCAGCCUUCAAUGCCUCGACCAAAUGGGACUCGAUCCCAGAAUCACAAGGUUCGUCGUCCCCAUCGGAGCCACCAUCAACAUGGACGGUACCGCUUUGUACGAGGCGGUUGCCGCCAUUUUCAUCGCUCAGAUCAGGAAAGUGCAGCUGGGUAUUGGAAGUGUCAUUGCCAUAAGCGUGACUGCGACUGCGGCUAGCAUCGGAGCUGCUGGCAUUCCCCAGGCUGGUCUUGUCACGAUGGUCAUGGUACUGGACACCGUUGGCUUACCCUCAGAAGACGUCAGUGUGAUCAUCGCUGUUGAUUGGUUGCUCGACCGAUUCCGUACAACGAUAAACGUGAUGUGCGACCUUCUGGGAGCUUGCAUAAUAGAGAAAAUGAGUAAAGGAGAGCUUGCAGCGGCGGAGUUGCGUCAGCAGGAGGAGAGCGUCGAGCUUACCCAUCUAAGGAAAUCAGAAGCGUGAAAAAGUGAUUAUAUGUACAUGAUAAUCGGCCAUGCAUAUAACCUUCGCAUUAACUGCAGCUGACACACGUUUCAAACGUUGAAAUCGCGAAUGUAUAUAUUUUGUUGUUGCUGAAAUUACAUAUGCUAUAUAUAGUCACACUACACACAUUACCUAUAUAUAUAUAUAUAUACACACAGAUAAUUGUUUUCCCUCGUCGAUCAUGUGUUAGAUUGCUUCGUCCAUUCCAGAUUAUAUUGAAUAUUCGCCUGCAACAUCAAACUGUGAGUCUAGAAUUGAAUGUCGAUAAAAAAACGUGUGUAAAACAAUCUCGCUCAUUACCGACGACGUAUAACUUGACAAUCGCUUGUGCCUGACAAUAAUUAGUAUAUCUAUUAUUAUAUCCGUUAUAAUCGACAUCGCAGAACGUGGGACUCAAGAACUAUACAUAUAUUAUAACUACCUAUAAAUAAUACGAUACAUUUUCCAAGUCAAUAAAUUAAGUGCCAUUUCUUUUUCUCAUCUUGACGCGGUACUGGAAUUAUCAUUCUUACUAUGUUUUUUUUUUCCUUCAACCAUACGUACAUACGUAUAAUAUGGAAUAGCAAACCUUUGAUACUUAAAUUGUAUACUUAAUAAAUGUACCUCGAUUUAUAUGACUGUAAUACCGUGCUACACACCUACUCACGCUUUAUUUAAACUAGGUACGUUUAUACAGGUGUACCUUUUUAUUUAUAUAUGCAUACUUUCGGAGGCACAUAUCCGCAAAUCGCUGCCGACGUGUUCGUUCUUGUCUUAGAAAUGUAGACAACGUAACUCAAAUGUCAACGACAUUAGUAAUAAUAAUAAUAAUAACAACAAUAAUAAUAAUGAUAAUAAUAAUAAUUGUGGUAAUAAUGAUAAUAAUGAAUUGAUGAAUACUUAAUAUGGCUGAAUACUAGGUGCUUUUAAGAAACGUAAUAUUGUGUAGUUACAUAUAGACAUACCAUACAUGCAUAUGUAAUUCUUGGCGAAGAUAAUAUAGUUAGUAUAAAUGUAUAGAACGCAGCGCGUUUCGAUUGUUUGUUGGUAAUAAUUAUAUCGUAAAUUGACUGCGAAAAAAUCAUCGUAAUCCUACGCUAGAAAAACAUAGAUAUUACGCAGAUCGAUGGAUCUUCAUUGAUAUUACGUCGUUGGCUCGUUAUAAAUGAUAUUUGUGCUACUGUACUUACCGUAUAAGGAAAGCUAACGAUAAAAGUAGUCAUUUUGCUUUACAUAUUUGUUAUACUUAUAGUAUAUAUAUAUAUAUAUAUAUAUAUAUAUAUAUAUAUAUAUAUAUAUAUAUAUAUAUAAAUAGGUGAAUAGAUAAAAUUCCCGAGAAAAAUUAUCUGCACUGGUGCUGAAU